CAAGCACCAUGCUCUACCGACUGAGCUAGGGAGACUCCCUAUGGUGUUGCAAGCACCAUGCUCUACCAACUGAGCUAGGGAGACUCCCUAUGGUGUUGCAAGCACCAUGCUCUACCGACUGAGCUAGGGAGACUCCCUAUGGUGUUGCAAGCAGCAUGCUCUACCAACUGAGCUAGGGAGACUCCCUAUGGUGUUGCAAGCACCAUGCUCUACCGACUGAGCUAGGGAGACUCCCUAUGGUGUUGCAAGCACCAUGCUCUACCGACUGAGCUAGGGAGAUUCCCUAUGGUGUUGCAAGCACCAUGCUCUACCGACUGAGCUAGGGAGACUCCCUAUGGUGUUGCAAGCACCAUGCUCUACCAACUGAGCAGAGGACCAUGUGCGUACAAUACAAUUGUGUGCUGCCUGUUUCGUUUUUGUAGAUAUUUUCAUUCUCUGAGUUAUGGUCAACAGUUUUAAAUGUUAUGUUUAAUAACAAUGUAUUUUAUGCUCACAUUCUAAAACCUAGCAAUGUGCAUACUUUGUCUCGCAAUUGUAAUGAUCUGGAUUUUCUACCUGUGAGAGACAAAGAGAUGGCACAGAUGUCACAUGCCACGUCAACAAAGAUAAAUGUGGUAGAGUUGUGUGUGGGUUGAUAGGUUUUGCAUUUAUUGGAAUGCUCUACGUUGAAAUUACUGUCACAUCUCGUAGGCCCAGAGCAAUAUUAGUCUGAGUAGGCAUCAUUUUAAUUGGUUUCUUAAAAAGGGUUUAGAUUGCCAGAGGGAAACAGUACAAAUCUAAUAAAGUUCACGAAACUGCCUCAUUUCAUGAAAAUGAUUGAUCAAAUGGAUGCCGUUUCACUGCUGUGGGUAGAAUCAUAACAUGUGAAUGAUCAUUCUAAUUCUAUGGGUGGACUGCACCAUUACAUCACAAAUACAUGGUUUUGUUCUUGUUGUUGAUAUUGGUUUUGGUUUCGGUUCAAACAGAAGACGGUCCAUAGAUAUAUUAUAUAUGAUACAGUCAGUCAGUUCACUGGCAGAAACACUGAAUGUGUCUCUUGUCUUUGGAUAAGAGAAUCAAUUCUAUCAAGGAAGGAGAUUCCAGAGAGAGGAGAAACAGAUGGAGAGGGUUAAGAAGGAAAAGCAGAGAUUGCCAAUACCAAACCAGUCCGAGAUAAAGACGGAGGAACAACUGAGAGAGAAACCGAAGAGGGAAAGACAAAAUGGACAGUGAUCGGCUGAGAAGACAGAGGGAGAAUGAAAAGGCAAUGGAGAGGAAAAGGAUCAACGGAGGAAUAGAAUGAAAGAGAGGAGAGAAAAGAAAACGGAGAGAAAAGAGGAGAUGAGGACCAAAGCGACCGUGGAGGAAGAUGACGGUGGAGGAAGAUGACGGUGGAAGCAUCAUUGAAGAAAAGAAGAAGAAAGAUAAAAGUGUCAGUAGGAGAAUCUUCAACUGGGGAAAUACUAAGGUCAAGGAGAGAUACCGACGACAAAUCGAGAGGACCUUUCAGAGGGAGAAGGAGGAAGGUGGUCAUUUAUGCAGCAGAGGCACCUUAGGAGGUGGUCUUGGAUCCGUGGCCCAUUGUCUUGUCAGCACACGGGCCGAGCGUGAGAGAGAGAGAGCAGAGGCAGAAUCUGUUCAAGGCUGAACUAAGAAGACAGAAAUGGGAAGGGUGCUGGUAUGAAUAGCAAGACAAGAGGAGAGACAAGAAAGAGGAGAAAAGGGAGAAGGAAAAGCUUACAGAGGAGAAGAUAGGGAUGGCCUCUGAAUCACUCCAGAGUCUACACAUUUAUUUCUCCUGAAUUAUAUUAAUAAAGUUAUUCAACUUUUGU